GAUGAACGCUGGCGGCGUGCCUAAUACAUGCAAGUCGAGCGAACGGACGAGAAGCUUGCUUCUCUGAUGUUAGCGGCGGACGGGUGAGUAACACGUGGAUAACCUACCUAUAAGACUGGGAUAACUUCGGGAAACCUGAGCUAAUACCGGAUAAUAUUUUGAACCGCAUGGUUCAAAAGUGAAAGACGGUCUUGCUGUCACUUAUAGAUGGAUCCGCGCUGCAUUAGCUAGUUGGUAAGGUAACGGCCUACCAAGGCAACGAUGCAUAGCCGACCUGAGAGGGUGAUCGGCCACACUGGAACUGAGACACGGUCCAGACUCCUACGGGAGGCAGCAGUAGGGAAUCUUCCGCAAUGGGCGAAAGCCUGACGGAGCAACGCCGCGUGAGUGAUGAAGGUCUUCGGAUCGUAAAACUCUGUUAGUAGGGAAGAACAUAUGUGUAAGUAACUGUGCACAUCUUGACGGUACCUAAUCAGAAAGCCACGGCUAACUACGUG
rnacentral:rRNA from 1 species